GCUGGUGUAGCUCAGUUGGUAGAGCAACUGAUUUGUAAUCAGUCGGUCGGGGGUUCAAGUCCCUUCACUAGCU
rnacentral:tRNA from 1 species